rnacentral:rRNA from 1 species
UACGAAGGGGGGCUAGCGUUGCUCGGAAUCACUGGGCGUAAAGGGUGCGUAGGCGGCCAACUAAGUCAGACGUGAAAUCCCUCGGCUUAACCGGGGAACUGCGUCUGAUACUGGAUGGCUUGAGUUUGGGAGAGGGAUGCGGAAUUCCAGGUGUAGCGGUGAAAUGCGUAGAUAUCUGGAGGAACACCGGUGGCGAAGGCGGCAUCCUGGACCAACACUGACGCUGAGGAGCGAAAGCCAGGGGAGCAAACGGG